UACGUAGGGUGCAAGCGUUGUCCGGAAUUAUUGGGCGUAAAGAGCUCGUAGGCGGUCUGUCGCGUCUGCUGUGAAAACUCAGGGCUUAACCCUGAGCUUGCAGUGGGUACGGGCAGACUAGAGUGCGGUAGGGGAGACUGGAAUUCCUGGUGUAGCGGUGAAAUGCGCAGAUAUCAGGAGGAACACCGGUGGCGAAGGCGGGGUCUCUGGGCCGU
rnacentral:rRNA from 1 species